GAACAUACCUGAUCUCAUCUGAUUUUAGAAGCUAAGC
rnacentral:rRNA from 1 species